CCUACGGGAGGCAGCAGUCGAGAAUCAUUCACAAUGGUGGAAACCCUGAUGGAGCGACGCCGCGUGGGGGAAUGAAGGUCUUCGGAUUGUAAACCCCUGUCAUGUGGGAGCAAAUUAAAAAGAUAGUACCACAAGAGGAAUAGAUGGCUAACUCUGUGCCAGCAGCCGCGGUAAUACAGAGGUCUCAAGCGUUGUUCGGAAUCACUGGGCGUAAAGGGUGCGUAGGCUGUUUCGUAAGGCGUGUGUGAAAGGCGCGGGCUCAACCCGCGGACGGCACAUGAUACUGCGAGACUAGAGUAAGAGAGGAGUAAGCGGAAGUCUCGGUGUAGCAGUGAAAUGCGUAGAUAUCGAGAGGAACACUCGUGGCGAAGGCGGGUUCCUGGACAUUAACUGACGCUGAGGCACGAAGGCCAGGGGAGCGAAAGGGAUUAGAUACCCGAGUAGUC
rnacentral:rRNA from 1 species